UUAUCAUUUAUUAUUAGUAUUUUUUUACCUGGGGCCCCAGGAAUCAUUUUGAAGUACAAAGGAUCAAAAGUUAAGUAUCAUUCCAUUACACACUAUAUGUAUUAACUUUUUUGUUAAGGUAUUUAAAAAGUAGCUGUUUGAAAGACUAAAGAUCUUACAGUAUAGAAUCAAUAGUGUCAUGUUAAACUUUCUCCUUGUUCAAGAUUUUAGUCCCAAGUUCCUGUUAAAGAUUGAAGUCCAUUCAAAGUCAGUCUCAAUAUAUUUUGUUAACUCUAUUCCUUUAGUGUGGGCAGCAAUGUAGUGCUGCCUCCACAUGGCGCUGCCUGGGAUCACUAGUGGCUACUACUGCUAGUGAUGCUAAGAGCACUACACUCAAGAAGAGAAUAAAUACUAACAGUUAAUGACAUUAAAUGGAUAAGUACAAUUCUCUGCUAUUGAAGACUACUUUAAGAAUAUUUAGUUGUAUUAUAUCAUAUUUAAAUAUUAACUCACUAAGCAUUAUAAUGAUUUGUUUUUCUUGCUACUGA